rnacentral:lncRNA from 1 species
UUUUGAUCCAAAAUUUUACUGUUAAAAAUUUAUCUAAAGAAAUAAUUAAAAAAUGCUGAUAAAAUUUGCCCACAAGGAUGUUUAUCAUAAGAUAGUUCUAAUUUACAAAAACAAGAAACAUCCUAAAUAUCUAACUACAAGACAGUGGUCUUCACCGUUUCUCACCCGGAUUCCUGCGAUAGGUCUCUCCGUCCAGCCCACACCCCGUCUGAUCUCUGCCCCACGUCCUGCCAUAAAACAAAAGCUUGAACAAAUCACUCUCCAACUUUAAAUACUUUAGACCCUUUGAGUCAUGUACAUCCUCAGAAUCUGGCCCCUGACACUUCUUUAACACUUUCUCCCAAAACUCCCCAGGAACAUGCUGCAUUCCAGCCAUUUCAAACUAUUUAGUUCCUCAAGUGGCCCUUUCUUCCGUCCUCUCCUUGCUUUUGUUGUGCUGUUUCUACCGCGCAGAAAUCUCUUCUGCACUCCCCUGUUCACCUGAUACCCUUUGUCCCAUCAAGACUCGCCAAGGGAAAUCAGUCUGAGCUGCAGGUCCCCACUCUGUGCUCACAAGGUGCUUCUCUGUUCCAUGUUAGCACCCGUCUCGCCAUGGCAGCCUCCCCUUCGCCACACUCAGAGUUCUGGAGGAAGGCACUAAGUCUUUCACCGCGGGCAUUAGCUGUAUCUGUCUGCCCGGAGCCAUCCUUUCCGUCAGGGAAGUACCACCCCUUCAUCCCUGUGGUUCACACGGUGCCCUGUCUGCCUGCUGCUACAGGCUUGGGCAUGGGACCCAGGCAAGUCCUGGUGCCAUAUCCUCUUGACAGCAAUGACCAAUCAGAGCCCGGGCAUGGGAUUUGCCACAGUCUUGCCAUGGUGUUAAUACCCGGAUCCUGGAAAGAGAAGGUCCCUCAUAUUCUUUAGGAUUGAAUGGGAGACGACCCAAACCACCAACAGUCAUUUUUCCCAUCUCAUGUAGGGAGCAUGUCCAUGGAAUUGAGUCAAACUAACCCUAGAGAGGGAUACAUGGUCAUGAAUAUGGAAAUAGAGCCAAAUAACAGAAGUUAGCCCCUGGAUCUAGCAUAUAAAAAGCAAGCACAUUCUGCAUUUCCCAGUUACACAAGCCAGUAAACUCCCAUUUGGGGUUAAAGUAUUUGGGUUACAUUCUGAUACUUGCAACCAAGAAUCCUGACUAAAACUUAUUUGGAAUUUGUGUCCCCCCUGAAUCACAGUAACUGGCAUGUCGGAUUCAACAAAAACAUGUUAUGUGGAUGAACAAAUAACUCAGCAAAGGGUUACGAGGUGCCCUGUGUAAAGGGGGUCUCUUCUGCCCUCAGAACUGCUCAGUGUCUGCUGUUCAUCAACGGAGCACUCACGUCUUGCAUCUUGAUGUAGAGGCCACACCACCUGUGUCUACGUGGGGUUCCUCUUUAAACAAUAUUUUCCUAGUCAGCAAGCGCCUGAAAUGUCUAUUCAUCUGUAAACACUUGGAAAGACUCCAGGUCGUGUUCUUAUUUUGCUAGUUUAAGUGUUAAAUGAGCCUAAAGUUAGGAAAGCUCUCAUCAGCAAAGCCAUCACUCCUGGUCCAAUUCACCAAAGAUUUAGGAGCUCUCGUCCCACACUGGGCUGGGCAGAAGGAGCCUUGACUGACUGCGCUUGAGCCUGUGGUGGCGGGUGAAGGAGUCUGAGAAGCGGUUUUCCUCCCUUCAGGUCUUGUCUGGGUGAGUCCAAGAGUGUGGAGCUACUGAGAACUCUGCCUCAAGUGGAAGGAUGUAGGGCUUCCAACCUAUUAGUAGAUUCGUCCCCUUGCUUGGUUUUUGGAGAAUAAAAGGAAGGGGAUUGCCUCAUGAGGAAAAGAAAUCUCAUGGAGUAGAAGAAACCAGAGAGGCCACGGUAUCAGAGUGUGACAGUCAAAGGACACAAAAGAAAAAGUUAUUUAAACCAGCAACCAGCCUUAAGAGGAAACUGAGGAGGAAGCAGCGAAUGUGGAACACCCUUUCUGUCCUGCCAUACCCUGGGUGCUGGGAUACAACGACAAGAGAAGAACAAGCAUCAGAACAUGUGUGUGCAACCAAAGACCAUCGCAGCCCCAGACCAUCUGCGCAAGAAGAGCCUGGGCAAGUGCUGGUUGAAGAGGGACGUCUUGAAGGCACGUUUGCACAAAUCACUCUUAAUUGGAUGGUAGGUUUAUUUAGGAUGGUGCAUGUGUAGGGGAGUGAGGGUGAGAUGCUAUGGGACAGUUUCGGGCCCACCCAAAUGACUUGACACAAAGGCUGCCCAAAGAAAAGGAAGAGGGACCCUGGAAAUCCUCUUACUCUCCCUCAGAAGGUUCCCUCAGAAUCAGCACUGGCUCAGGCAUCUGCCCCACCUCCACCCUUCUGCCACCCCCUGGGAAGGUUCAGUGCCAUCCGCAGCGUGAGAGCUGACCUCCCCUGCUCUCCACGUUCCCUGACACACAAAUGCCCGUGCCUGGGAGCUCUAAACCUACAACCCAGCAAAGACAGACAUGAGGGCAGGUUGCAUUCUGCCCUCAUUAUCCAUUUUGGGUCUUUUUGUGUCACCUGAUGUGGGCUCGGCGAGCUGAGGAGUCGAAGGAAAGAUUUCUUGGACUCUCAAGUUCUGGUUAGUAGUGCUCUUUUAUUCAGAAAAUAGUAUGGGGACAGGACCCCUGGGCAGUGAAGAGCUGCAGCAUGGGGACAGGACCCGUGGGCAGGAAGAGCUGCAGGCAUGGGGAGAGGACCCACGGGCAGUGAGGGGCUGCAAUGGGUUGAGGGCAGGGCUAAAUUUAUAAGGCAUGGGUCUAUGAGUUAUUUCUUUACAAGACAAAGGCAAGAUCAUGUUAAAAAGUCCUUAAAAUUGUAUCAGCACAGCUGGGGUCUGGUUAUCAGGUGGUCCUAUAACUUUAGAUAAGAAUCAGAUUGGAUCAGGUCAGGACAUCCUAUAUGUCCCAGAGGAUGAUCAAUAUGUAGGCCAAGAUGCUUUGGGCUUCUCUCCCUUGGGCAGCCUUGAUCCACAUCAUCACCUAGUUCAAAAUUUUGUGUAACCUAUGAAUAUGUUUGUAUCACAUUCACUCCUAAGGUUAGACAUUUCUACAGUGGAUGUAACCUCAUUAUUGUGUUAUUUUUCCCAACCAAAGCUAACUUUCUUGUCAGGCUUACAAAGAGCCACAUCAGCCAUGCUAGAGUUAAGUCAGGAGAUCUGCAGACUGGCAGAACAGGGGACUCUGGAAGAACCAGGCGUGAGCAGAGCAGUGUGGAGUCCUGACUGGUCAUUAAUCCAGCUUUGGUCAAGAGAGAACACUGCUCCCAGAGGGUUGUGGAACAGCGCGCGUAUGUCACACCAUGCAGGUAGCAGUUUAUCUGUCCUAAGUAAACAUCUGACAACAAGCAGUUUGAAGUAUUUGAAAAUGAGAUUCUCCAAAAUAAGUCCUUCAUUUGAAUAAGCUGAAACGACACCCACAUCUAGCCACCGGUUUUACACAAACCGCUCCUGAACAGCUGAUGCGGGCAUGUGCACACCUGUGAUCCUGCGCCCUGAUCUCUCACAUCGCCAGGGUUCUCACGUGUGUUAGAUGUUUGAGUGUUCAAGGUCCUGGCAGGACUCUCUGUAGAGUAGAGCUGCUCUUGCUUCUGUUUGGGGCAACACUGAUCCCUAUAAUCUUGACUCCUCCCUUCCCACCUCCUCCAGACCUUGUAUGAUCAAUUGCCCCUGGUGUCCUAAAUCCUCAACCAACCUCUUCUUCUCUUCCCUCCCCCUCAGUCCAUAACAAUGCCUAAAUAGAAACUAUCCCCUUCCUCUGAAUUCUCCCACCGCUUACCAUCUCAUCCCUCUCCUCUUCAUAUACAACUUAUUUGAAAGAGUAUACUAUUUUUGCUAUUUAUAUAGCCUCAUUUCCAUUAAAUCUUCACCUCACUACAGUUUAUCUCCCAUCUUGCAUGAAGCAACAGAAACUGACUAACAUAAGCAAAAAACAAAAAAGUAUUUAGUUUUUCGACGUAUGGCAGAGAUCCAUCCUCACCUCCUUGGAGAGCCUAGAAAGUUAAAAACAACAUCUCCCAGACUCUCUUGCAGCUAUGGUCUGUAUGCAAACCAGGUUCUGCCAAUCAAUACAGUCAUAAAAGUGUUGGAAGACAAAUAUGGACAGAGGUAUCGUCCUGUUGCUGCUUCUGCUAACAAGUAAGCUCAUGAACACAUGAAUGUCAAAAAGCAGGUGAGGGACAAUGAUGGCCAGACUCAGUGCUAGUCAAUACCUUAUGGGUGUCCAGAAAGUUUCAAUGGUGACAGAGGGGGUGGCUUCCUGAUCCCCACCCCUGAUCUCUGAACAGCAUCUAUGAUGAUGAGCUCUGAACUUCACAGUGUCAGUGGUUGUCUCCUGAUUUGUGCUACUCUAGCAUUUCCAACCAUUUUUACAGCACCCAUUUCCUAUAUAAAAUCCUUCAGGUUUAAAAUACCUAGGGUGUUUUCUCUCUCCUUUACUGAGCCCUGACCCAUAGAGUUUGUGAAACUGCAAGUGAUCUUAGACAACAGACUCUCAACAAUAAGGACUUGGGGGUGGUUACCUGAUUCGGUUGGAUUUGAAAGCAGAGGUGACUCAGUUCCCACUGAAAAAUGAGAGCUGACAGUCUGUGGCUCAGUUGCAAAUACAGUUACUUAAAUUAUCACAUUUUUCAAGGACUUAAAUUAAAUGCCUACCGGAGGCAAGCCUCCUGGUGGGUGAGUAUUGUAGGAAUGGGGCAGACAAGGACGGUGGGGCAGGCUGAAUGCUUCUGAAGCCCUGAAAAGCUUUUCUUCAAGCUAUAAACUCAGGUCUUUACAUUUCUUUAAAUUCUAAACUCUAGGCAAAAUUAAAGGAUUGGGGAGUUUCUAUAACUGCCAUCAAUCUCUAAUCUCUUAAAACCAAUGGGAUGACAUGUCCAAAAGCUAGAUGCCAAGGCUGACCAUGUGAUUUUUGAGUUAGAAAUUAAAUUGAAUUCACAGCCUCCCCAGGUCUUUCAUGGUCAAGAUAGACCUUGAUUAGAAAAGAAUGCAACCCUGAGAACUGAGAUGAGAACGUUUGGGUAAACUCAGAUGAGUACGAGUCCGUGGAGUCUGCAAGAUCCACUAGGCUCACUUGCCAGAAGCAGUAGUCCUCUCCCAUCUGAUAAAGCUGGCUCUGCCUUGGGUGGACGCCUUGCAAGGGCCUUCCCUGAGGUAUCCACCUUCAAGAGGAUGCCCUGAGCCUCAUGUUCCACCAUAGCAGUUUUCAUUGUCUGUAGACCGAAUUAAAAAAGUCAAAUUCCAUUAUGUCUCAGGGAGACAAGCAAAGAGAGUUUACUAUUUAAAGAUUUGUAACUCCCUGCUUAUUGCUAUCUGUAGGAGCCCAGGGAGUAUGUGUGAUAAUGGAUUCAGGUGGGGGAAGGGCUAGACCAAUGAGAAGUAAGUAUCAACAUGUGUGCAUUGACCAGCUGCCCUGGUGGUCUAGUGGUUAAGAUUUGGCACUCUCACUGCCACAGCCCAGGUCCCUGUCCCCAUCGUGGAACCACACUGUCAGUUGUCACACUGAGGCAGCUGCGUGUUGCUGCGAUGCUGAAAGCUCUGCCACUGGUAUUUCAAAUACCAGCAGGGUCACCCAUGGUAGACAGGUUUCAGCGGAGCUUCCAGACUAAGAGAGACUAGGAAGGAGGACCUAGUCACUCGCUUCUGGAAAAAUUGGCCACAAAAACUCUAUGAAUAGCAGCAGAACAUUGUUCUAAUACAGCACCAGAGGGUGAGAGGAUGGCUCAGAAAGAUGGGUAGGGUUCUGCUCUGCUGUCCACAGGGUCACUGACUGCAUGGCAUUUACUAGAGCUUUUUAAUUCAGUGAUCUAAUUCAAGAGAAGCCUUCUGCUUGCCAAUUGAUAACUGAAAACUACACCUACUCCAAGCGAGAUUGAAAUGAAGAGAUUCCUUGAUAUAAUACAGAGGGGAAAAAACAGAGACUCGGGAGAUAAUAAUGUUGAAAUGGGAUUAUUAUGUAUAGCCUGUUCAUUCACCAUCUGUGUUUGCCAAGAGGCCUCAAGAAUGCUCCCUUCACUAAGACACAAAGACAUACAUCUGAGGCCGAAGCACCAUUAUCCUCUAAAACACUGUCGCUUCUGCCCUGUGUAGGAGAUGCUGCUAGUGAAAUGGGCUUUCUGAGUUCAGUGAUGACAGGAAUCUGGAGCGGCAGAGGCCACACAGUCGCAAUCCCUGGUUACCACAUGAGCAGCAGGAAUACAGUGAUAAUCAGAAUGGUGUGACCUGUAAGAAUGAGAUUAUUUAUCACGGGAUUCCUAGGAGUGAAGCAGAUGGGCAGCCGAAAAGUAAAGAAGAAAAAAAUCUGGAGAAUGAGGGGCUGAUUUGAGUUGCCUCAGCGGAAAGUCAGAUUCCCAGAAACUUUGCAUGUGAGCCCACUGAACAAAGAAGCCAGGUACCCAGGAGGAGGGCCCCGUGGCACUGUCCCAAGUGUGAACUGUAAGCUUCCUCUUUGUCUCCUUAAGGAAACUAAGGCCAUUUGCCAAAGUAAUGUGCACUGAGAAAACUUUACCCAGACUUUUGGGAUAUCCCUGGACACUGGUUCUUAGCUAGUAUUAAUCCUUAGGGACACAAAAGAUAUCUGAGAUCCACUACUACGAGUAAGAACUUAGGAGGAUUGAGUGACACAUGCUGUUUGGCCGGAACCCAUCUUGCAAAUAGGCCAAGAAAGUCCAUGAACCCAUUCUGUGGUUAUUUUCCCUUUCCAGAAGACAAAGUUGUAAUGACACUUGGCAAGCGGUGGGUUACUUUAUCAUGAAAGGAAGAGACAAGUGAAGUGAAGCAAACAGUGAAUCAAAAACAAUAUCACGCACGUCCCUGAGGGAAUUGCAUAUUAAUAUCACCAUCAAAGACUUGAGAGGGGACGAUAGUGGCAGCAUAAUUUUGGGUCUCAUCAAAUCCCCACACGAAAAUACACAUAAAAACUGACUUAAGAACAAAUAUGACCAAUAUUUCCAACAGAACUAGAUGGUAAGUUAUCCCCACAAACCCCGUAAUACCAGUGAGCGGGGAAGAACCCCAGCAGGAACGAGAGCUGCACGUCAUCUGUGUCUGUGCUGGAGAAAUCAGGGAAGACAGCAACGCAACUGCUGAACUGAAAAUCCCUCCAGAAGGCAACACACCCUGACCAACAGUGCAGCAGGCCAUCGGAGAAAACAGCGGAAACUCCACAAGUGCGUGAGUGUCGGGGCGAGGGGUAAGGCCUAACGGGCUGGAGCCGUCCAACCCCGCUGAACUCUUAAGACAGACCCGGCCAGGCUCCCUCCCAUGGCAGAACCCCACAGGAGAAACUGUGGGGAUAGAAAUAAACUUGAGCAGGACAGGAGCCACAGAGCAAAUGGAAAAGAAGUUCUCGAUCAAAGUGUGGGAGGGCCUAGAGCCAGAAAUCAGAAAACAAGCCGCCGUGUCCCUUAACAUUAUAUGAAAAUGACACAAGAGGCAGCUCUGAAAAGUUAGGAAAUCUGUCUGAAAUAAGCUCCUUUUAAAAGUUCAAGAAAACCAAAUUCACAUUAAAAUGAGCAGCAAACACAAAGUGUCAAGAUCAAAUCCCACAAAAGUUUACUAUUUAAAAAACAGGAAAAGGAGCAGUGGCAUCUCUCUACAGACAAUGAAGCAUGCCAGAAGGACACUCAGAGACAGACCAGACUGUAACACACUGUCUCAAAUGAUCUGGAGGAUAAUAUGAUAGACAGAAAAAUAGCAUAAAUCAGGAUGGGGAAAACUCAGGAGUGAGGUGACAGAACUCAAGGAAGAAUUACCAAUACAAGGAAAAAAAUUUUCUUAAUGAAGAUUACUAUAGGAGAAAGAUAGCAAAUAAAUACAAGUAAUGCCUUAAAAAUGAGGGUAAAAAUAAGGAAAAAAAUUUAAUUCAAAAAGAAAUGAGAAACAAUAAAAAAGUGACAAAUAUUGAAGAUAGGCAAAGAAAAUCCAGCGUAUAGAUAAUAGCAGUCUCUGAAGAAACCCAAAGCAGAUGGACAGACCAAAUACUAAAAUCUUUCCAGAAACAAAAAAAUAAAAGUAUUCAAAAUUACGUAUUGAAAGAGCAUAUUGUGUGUCUGAGAAAAGAUAUCUAAACUGGUUCUGCCAUUUGCAAAGUUAUUGUCUCUCUUUGAUGAUAAAUUAUCUCUGUUCUCAUUAUUGUCUCCUGACUGGACACUGAUACAGGAAUUGGUACCAAGUGGUCCCAGGAAACCUCAGAGACCUCAAAGACUGGAUUUGAGAACUGACUUGGUCAUGUCCUUGGUCUAGAGCAAAGAGUUGAACUCUCUGCCAGUGGACAAUGGGAAGCUAGGUAGUCCAUGGCAUGCAGUGGCAUUCACGAUUAAUGAAAUUAUCAUCUGGGGUUGAUUACGAUGAAGCAUCUACAGACGCACCAAGACAUAUCCUAGUAAGAUUACUGAGGUUUAAGAGAAAAAAAAAAAACUUUCAGGCAUCUAUGCAAAAAGCACCCAUGACUUAUAAGGAAAAAAUUACGUUAUCAUCAGAUUUUUCAACAACAGCAUUUCUUAUGCUAGAAGAAAAUGGAGUAACAUACCUAAGAAGCUCAAAGGAAGAAAAUGUGAACCAAGAAUUUUAUAUACAACAAAACUGACCUACAAGUAUACAAGGUGCAGACAAACUGUUAUCAACACGCGGGAACUCAAGCAAUACUGUUCCCAUGAGCCCUUCCGAAGAAAUCGACUAGAGCUGCGCUGACCAGUAUGGUAGCCACUAGCCAUAUGUGGUUGUUUAAAUUUUAAUUUUAAUGAAUUAAAUGAAGUAAAAUUAAAAAUUCAGUUCUUCAAUCAAACUAGCUACAUCUGACAUGCUCAAGAACUCAAUGUGCUAGUGGCUAUCACAUCGGAUAGUACAAAUAUAGAAUACUUUCUAUCAUCAUAGAAGAUUUUGUGGGAUAGCAUUGUCUUAGCCAAUGAGCUUCAGACAAUCCCAAUGACUGGAAAUCUCUGACAUAAAGACUGGGGAUGGGUAUUAAAUAUAUACUUAAUUGAAUAACUGAGGACAAAUGAGGACUAAAACGAAGAGAUUGUAGCAACAGCUGCAUAAUUUGACAAUCAAGAUAGAGUAAAACCAUUAAAAAUGGGGGAGAUGGAAAUAGCAUAUGUAAAAGAAAGGUAUUUUUAAAUUAUAUUUUCAGUAGUCAUAACUGAUGGUGUAGCAUUAGGAUUGCUAUUCUGAGGCUAUCGUAUGUGUAUGUGGGACAAAGCAAAUGAGUAACUAUGUAAUAUUCCGACUCCAUCACGUCUUGAGAGCCAGGAAUCUCAGUGUGGAAGAAAGGAGAUCCGGAUGUGUUACAGAGGAGGUUAAGUAAAAAAGCCUAUAGCCUGAAUUUAAAUUGGAAAUAUCUGUUUGAACUAGAAUCCAUGACAGACCCAGUAGGACCGAGCAUCCCUGGAGCCCAGAUUGUGGUUUGGAAUGCUGUUUCUCAUGAAAAGAAACCAGGGAUUUGGGGAGAAAUGGCUGGUUCCAGGUCUGGGGCAGGAUACGUACAAGAUGCGCCUGGAACAUCUUGACACACCGGGUAGCAAGGAAGCCAUCAAAGGUCACUGGUGUCACGUCAAAAAGAUUCAGGAGCCAACCUGGAGAGGGUCCUAUGAGCCAAAGAUGGGACAAUUUCAGCUUCUACCAAAACUGUAAUAAAUGGGAACUCGUCAAAUAUGUUUAAACCCAUAAGUUUAUAACAAUAUUAAAAGAAAAGGCAACCAAUUGGUCACUUUCUGAGGACCCAAUCCACUUCCUCGAGAACUAACUGAACUACAGAAUCAAGCAUUUGUCUUGCCUAUUCUAUAGGAACUGGCUAACCAUAACAGACAAGGGGAAGUGCCCCUUUAUAAAGUUACCCCAGCUAAUAUGGAAACAAAAUGAUGGCAUAUCACCAUGUGAAACCUCCAGUAAGUAAACGUGUCUAGACCUCGAACAUCACCAGCUGUUAAAAUCACAGAAAGAGUGGAAAUCAGACGGAUCGUGUCUUCUAAUGAAAGAACACAACGUCACCUAUAGUAUCGUCAAAGGAGCUGACCCUGAGUCCAAUCAGGCCUCUGGAUCCAGCUUCCAAUCCUCAAGGAACACAAGGGAAAGGGGCACCUUGAAACGCUCCGUGAGUAUGCAACCAAAAAAAUCCAGACUUCAGGAAACUCGACAGUUCAAACAGGCUGAGAUAAAUUAUAAGGAUAAAAGGGGGCAUGGGAAGCUUAGAUUAAAAGCAACUGGAAAACAUACACUUUAAAACGGGCCUGAUUAAACCGGAAUAUUUAAGGAUGCACACUUGGGUGAAAAAAGCAUAAAAAGUCAAGGCAGUGAUCACUAUAUAGCAGUCAGGAUAGCUGUUACUUUCGAAGGAGGAGAGGGUUGUGAUUGGCACAAGGCACAUGUAGAGGCUUCUGGGGCGACUGGCAAAGUUCUAUUUCUUGAGUCGUGUGUUGGUCAAGGAUGUUUACCUUAAAGUAAUUCACCAAGCUGUUAAAAAAAUAAAGUUUGAAAGAUGCUGGGGCGGUGAUUUCUAUCAUAGCCCCAUUUAAUUCAUCACUAUGGCCAUUGCAGAAGACAUAUGGGUUUUGGAGAAUGACAAUGGGUUCCCUUAAACUUAGUCACAGGCCAACACUUCAAUUGCAAUUGCUUUUUUUAAAUAUGUUCUCUUUACUCCAGCAAAUCAACAGAGACCCCAGCACGUGGUAUGCUGUUAUCCAUCUGAUAAAUGUUUUGUUCUCUCUCCCGAUAAGCAGAUAAUACCAGAAGAUUUUGCUUUCAUCUGGUGGGAAAGCAGCUCACCUGUGCUGUUUUCCCUCAGGGCUACAGCAGCUCUGGCUCUCUGUCAAAAUUUAGUCAACAAGACAUUGAUCGCCUCACCAUCCCACAGGACAUCGUGGAAGUUUAGUACCUUGAUGACGUCGUUUUCUUAAGACGUAGUAAAUAAGAAGCAGCCGCCAUAAUCCUAGACUUCUUGAUAUUGUGCAUGAAAGGGUGUGAGAUAAACCGCACAAAAAUUCAGGGCUCCGCCGACUGAGUACAGAGAGGCUUAGAAGGCCUUUCAGGGUUUUGGAGGCAACUCAUACCACAUUUGCAUAAACUACUGGACUUGUUUACCAAUAACACCGAAGGAGUAUCCACUUUGAUUACAUCCCAGAGCAAGUGACGAUUCUCCAGCUGGUCCAAGAUGCAGAGCAAGCAACCUGGUCAUUCGAUCUAGCAGAAUCGUGGUGCUCAAAGCGUGUAUGACUGAGGAGGAUAUUGGACAGACAGCUCCAGUAGCAGAAUCAGAAUACAAGCCUCUAGGGUUUGGAGCAAAGCCAUGCACUCUCCCACAAAUACGUAAUCUCUUUUUGAGAAACAGUUCCUGGCUGGUAGAGACUGAAUGCUUGGCCAUGAGAUACCAAGGGACCACGUGACCUGAGCUGUCCCUUAUCAGUUGUGUAUUAUCUAACCCACAAAGCCAAAAAAUUGGGCACGCCCAGCAACACUCCAAAAUCAAGCGGAAGUGUUAAAUAGGAGACCGUGCUCAAGCAGGUGGUAACGGCCGUGGUGAGCCACAUGGGCAGGCCAUGCUCGCUCCCAAUGCACUGACCCCAGAAGUACCGCCACCUCGUCUUCAGCUCAUCCUAAUAGCUUUGCUGGGGAGUUGCAGAUGAAAAGUGACUUGAGGAAGCAGAAAGAUCUGCAGAAGUAUGCACCAACUGAAAGUGGACCGCGGGAGCAUGUGCCCUACUUAGGAGUGACCCAGAAGGACAGUGAGGAAGGGUAAUUCUUUCAGAGGCAGAACCUCAAGCAGUACAUGUGGUUGUCCCCUUUGCCUGGAAGGAAACACAAGAGCUACAGAUCUGUAGUAAUUUGUGAAUAGUGCUGAAUGGCUUAGCUAGAGAGUCCUAGGCUUGUGAGGAAAAAGAUGGGAGGGUUGGUAACCAGGAUGAACGGGAAAGAGUUGUAAGGAUGGACCUCAUAGAGUGGCCCAGGGUGAGAAUAUUUGUGUCCUGUGUGAAUGCUCAUCAGACAGCACCCACUGCAGAGGAGCCUGCCCAUAACAGUGGGAAGGGUGAUCUGGCCUGUGAGCGUCAGUCAGCAUCUCUCCUCGCAAGGCCCGAGCUUGCUCAGUGUGUUCAUGGAUACGGUGUAGUGGCCAUAGCAGCAAAGAUGGCUGUUGGGUCCGGUUCAACAACAGAAAGAUUUUUCUCCUCGUCAUGUUGGAUCUGGAUGGCAUUGCUGCUGGGUGCUCACCCUUCAACAACAGAAACCCAAGCUUAGCCCCUAUGACACCAUACCCUGGGGAGAUCAGAUAGCCACCUGGAGGCAGAUUAAUUGGACCACUUCCAUAAUGGAGGGGGCAGCAAUUUGUCCUCACUGGGACAGAAAUUUGUCCCCGCUUGCAGGAAGGUGUCAUCCCCUCAGCUCCCCUAAGAGGAAUAAUCAGAUAGUGACGUACAGGGGAGAGACUAGAGAUGGGGAGAUCGAGUACAAAGUACCACAGAAACCAGAAGCUCCUCAGUCAGGUUACACCCUCCGUGUGCUCCCACAACCCCUGUAGUGACUGUGCUGCAGGACUUCUCAGGCUCUGUUAUAAUAAAACCCCACAGGAGCAGCCCAGGGUCUGUGCCGCCCCAUCUAAUCUCCAGAACGGAGCCCCGUGCCUGGGACAUCGUACAGCUCAGUAGAUACGUGUCAAAUGUUUGUUGAAUGUCUUCUACAUUUUAGUAUUUAUCAUAAUCCUUUAAAAAUAUUUUGGUCAAGGUAGAUGCUUAACAAACAUUUAUUAAGUGAAAAAAAUUAUGAUCAACUAGAUUAGAAGUCAGCAAACUACAGCCUGUGGGCCACAUCUCACUGGCCACCUGAUCUUGUGUGGCCCAUGAACGAAGAAUGGUUUUUACAUUCUUAAAAAUGUAAGAAAAGAAUAAUAUUUCAUGACACUGAAAAAUGCAAUAAAUCCAAAUUUCAGUGUCUAUAAAUAAAGUUUUAUUGGGACACAGCUCCAUUUACACGUUGCCUGCAGUGUUUUGCUUGACAACAGCAGAGUUGAGUAGUUGUGACAGAGAAUGCGUGGCUUGCAAAGCUAAGAAUAUUUACUCUCUGGCCCCUGCAGAAAAAGUGUGCCGAUCCCUGGAGCAGGUCUUCCAAAGCACAGAAGACAACGAUCUUUAAGACAAGAGCGCUGCCUCCUUCCUUUGCAGACCACCACCUCAUCACUUCAAUUUCCUCUAAAGAAAACAAACUGUUUUUCUCAUAUUUCAUGGCUUUGAGGUUUAUUCCAAGCCUUGCCAGUGGCCUCAGGCUCCUCGUUGCCUUAUUUGAAACAAGAGAUAUAGAGCAGCCGAGACAGAUGACGAUGUGGAGAGGGAAGGAGGCGAGACGGGGCCCACGCUCAGACUCCCUAAAUCCACGAGGGAAACUUCCUUCUGUUGGCACCAGUUCAAAAC